UGGGGAAUAUUGCGCAAUGGGCGAAAGCCUGACGCAGCGACGCCGCGUGAGUGAAGAAGGCCUUCGGGUUGUAAAGCUCUGUCAGAAGGAAAGAAUCCUGCAGGUAACCCCUGCAGUUGACGGUACCUUCGAAGGAAGCACUGGCUAACUCCGUGCCAGCAGCCGCGGUAAUACGGAGAGUGCAAGCGUUGUUCGGAAUUAUUGGGCGUAAAGCGCGUGUAGGCGGCUCAACAAGUCUGGCGUGAAAGCCUGAAGCUCAACUUCAGAAGUGCGCUGGAAACUGUCGAGCUUGAGUACUGGAGGGGGAAGGGGAAUUGUCGAGUGUAGAGGUGAAAUUCGUAGAUAUUCGGAAGAACAUCAGUGGCGAAGGCGCCUUCCUGGACAGAUACUGACGCUGAGACGCGAAAGCGUGGGGAGCAAACAGG
rnacentral:rRNA from 1 species